rnacentral:sRNA from 1 species
AAAAAAAGUUACAUUAGGCUGGGUGCGCUGGUGCAGCCUGUAAUCCCAGCACUUUGGGAGGCCGAGGCGGGCGGAUCUCUUGAGCCCAGGAGUUUGCGACCAACAUAUUGAGUUUGGCCAAAAUAGUGAGACCCCCGUCUCUACAAAAGAUAGAAAAAAUUAGCCAGUUGCGGUAGUGAACGCUUGUAGUCCCAGCUACUUGGGACGCUGAGGGAGGAGGAGCACUUGAGCCCUGGAAGAGGAGGCUGCAGUGAGCUAUUUUCUCAUCCCUGCUAUAACGAAUUUGUCACAGGCUGUUUUAUAGGCCUGGAGCUCAGAAGCCCGAAGUGAGUUUUAGGAGGUUAAAAUCAAGGUGUUGGCAAGGGUAGUUCCUUCUGGAGUUUCCCAAGGAGAAUCUGCUUCUUUUCCUCUUCCAACUUCUAGAGGCCACCUUCUUCCAUCUUCAAAACCUACUGUCUCUGCAUAAGAACUCUCCUGAUUAUAUGCCGGCCGCCCAGACACCCCAGGGUAGCCUUCACAUCUUAAUAUUCUUAAUAUUUGCAAAGUCCCUUUUGCCACGUAAGGUAACACCACAGGUUUGGAGAUUAGGAGGUGGACAUCUUUCAGGGCCAUUCUUAUUUUUAAAAAAGUACUGUCGAUAAGAAUAGUUAAAAUGUAAAAUAUUUGAAGGGACUUAUUCUGAACCGAAUAUGAGUGACCUCGGCCGGUGACACAGCCCUCAGGGGAUCCUGGGAACAUGUGCCCAAGGUGGUUGGGGCAGUUUGGUUUUACAUGUUUUAGAGAGACAUGAGGCAUUAAUGAAAUACAUUUAAGAUAUCCAUUGGUUUGGUCCAGAAAGGCGGGACCAAACAAAAAAAAAAAGAUUUUGAACAUGCUUCCCGAGCUCAGGCAUGAAGAACUCUUGACUGAUAGAAACGGAGGGUGUGUCCAAAGUUUUCAGGACGGCCGAGCGGCGCUCCAAAACCCGUCCUCACAGCCUCGCCCCUUUCGCCUCAGCCACAGCAAAUCAUCGUCAACCUGUUCCACCUUCUCCAGUCUGGUAGCAAAAAGGGGUGUCUCAGGCCACUCUUCACCUCCACCAUGAGCCUGGACAUCCAGAGCCUGGACAUCCAGUGUGAGGAGCUGAGCGACGCUAGAUGGGCCGAGCUCCUCCCUCUGCUCCAGCAGUGCCAAGUGGUCAGGCUGGACGACUGUGGCCUCACGGAAGCACGGUGCAAGGACAUCAGCUCUGCACUUCGAGUCAACCCUGCACUGGCAGAGCUCAACCUGCGCAGCAACGAGCUGGGCGAUGUCGGCGUGCAUUGCGUGCUCCAGGGCCUGCAGAGCCCCUCCUGCAAGAUCCAGAAGCUGAGCCUCCAGAACUGCUGCCUGACGGGGGCCGGCUGCGGGGUCCUGUCCAGCACACUACGCACCCUGCCCACCCUGCAGGAGCUGCACCUCAGCGACAACCUCUUGGGGGAUGCGGGCCUGCAGCUGCUCUGCGAAGGACUCCUGGACCCCCAGUGCCGCCUGGAAAAGCUGCAGUGAGUUUGUGUCCUGCCCCAGGGCCCAUGCUGGCCGCUGCUUGUCCCCCAGCCAGCCCCCUACAUAGAACAUCGCCUGCCAGGAGCCGUGAGGAGGGGACUCAGGUCACAGGGGCCUUGUGGUGCUCUCCUUUCCCCAUGAUGCUGGGUCUGGGGCCUUGUGGUGCUCUCCUCUCCCCAUGAUGCUGGGGCUGGGGGGAUCUGUCAUCACCCUCCCUCCCCAUCCAGUUGUCCUUUGCAAGGCACAGCUGCCCCAGGACCUGACGGUGGGAACAGAUGCGUGGCCGUGAGUCAGGUUCCACUCACCGCCUCAGUGUGUGUGGGGGACCCGGCCAUUGUGAGUUGACCACAGCCUGGGACGUGCAGGUGGCCCUGCCCUCCAGAGGCUGGUUUCUUUCUCCCGGGCCUGGUUGGGCCCCAAAGUCUGAGGUCCGGGAGGGGGUGAGGGGUUUCCAGAAGGAAUGCCGGUGUCCACAGAGGCCCGGGCCUCUGGAUGAGUCUGUGGGGGUCCCUCAGCACUGACACCUGAUGCCCAGGCAGGAGAAGGCUGAGGGGGAGAUGAGACACCAGCACACCCCCGUGCUCCCUGGCAUCACACCCUUGGCUGGUGCACAUUCCUGUGUGGUGCUGAACUCGGCCAUCCCCCAGGCUGGAGUAUUGCAACCUCUCGGCUGCCAGCUGCAAGCCCCUGGCCUCCGUGCUCAGGGCCAAGCCGGACUUCAAGGAGCUCACGGUUAGCAACAACGACAUCAAUGAGGCUGGCGUCCGUGUGCUGUGCCAGGGCCUGAAGGACUCCCCCUGCCAGCUGGAGGCGCUCAAGUAGGCACUGGGCCUUGGGGGAGUGCGGGGUGUGGGCUGGGGGGGUCCUGUGCUGCCUCACGUGUGACCCGUGUCCCCAGGCUGGAGAGCUGCGGUGUGACGUCAGACAACUGCCGGGACCUGUGCGGCAUUGUGGCCUCCAAGGCCUCGCUGCGGGAGCUGGCCCUGGGCAGCAACAAGCUGGGUGAUGUGGGCAUGGCGGAGCUGUGCCCAGGGCUGCUCCACCCCAGCUCCAGGCUCAGGACCCUGUGGAUCUGGGAGUGUGGCAUCACUGCCAAGGGCUGCGGGGAUCUGUGCCGUGUCCUCAGGGCCAAGGAGAGCCUGAAGGAGCUCAGCCUGGCCGGCAACGAGCUGGGGGAUGAGGGUGCCCGACUGCUGUGUGAGACCCUGCUGGAACCUGGCUGCCAGCUGGAGUCGCUGUGGGUGAAGUCCUGCAGCUUCACAGCCGCCUGCUGCUCCCACUUCAGCUCAGUGCUGGCCCAGAAUAAGUUUCUCCUGGAGCUACAGAUAAGCAACAACAGGCUGGAGGAUGCGGGCGUGCAGGAGCUCUGCCAGGGCCUGGGCCAGCCUGGCUCUGUGCUGCGGGUGCUCUGGUUGGCCGACUGCGAUGUGAGUGACAGCAGCUGCAGCAGCCUCGCCGCGACCCUGUUGGCCAACCACAGCCUGCGUGAGCUGGACCUCAGCAACAACUGCCUGGGGGACGCGGGCAUCCUGCAGCUGGUGGAGAGCGUCCGGCAGCCGGGCUGCCUCCUGGAGCAGCUGGUCCUGUACGACAUUUACUGGUCUGAGGAGAUGGAGGACCGGCUGCAGGCCCUGGAGAAGGACAAGCCAUCCCUGAGGGUCAUCUCCUGAGGCUCUUCCUGCCGCUGCUCUCCCUGGAUGACCGGCCUCGAGGCAACCCUGGGGCCCACCAGCCCCUGCCAUGCUCUCACCCUGCAUAUCCUAGGUUUGAAGAGAAACGCUCAGAUCCGCUUAUUUCUGCCAGUAUAUUUUGGACACUUUAUAAUCAUUAAAGCACUUUCUUGGC